GGCGGACGGGUGAGUAAGACAUGGGUACCUGCCUCAAAGUGAGGAAUACCCUCGGGAAACCGGGGACAAGACCGCAUAGGCUCCCUCUUGGACACGAGAGGGAGCAAAGCCUCGCGAGGGGCGCUUUGAGAGGGGCCUGUGGCCGAUUAGCUAGCUGGUGGGGUAACGGCUCACCAGGGCCACGAUCGGUAGCUGGUCUGAGAGGACGAGCAGCCACACUGGGAUUGAGAACGGCCCAGACUCCUACGGGGGGCAGCAGUGAGGAAUUUUCCGCAAUGGGGGAAACCCUGACGGAGCAACGCCGCGUGCAGGAGGACGGCCUUCGGGUUGUAAACUGCUUUUCUGGGGGACGAGAACAAGGACGGUACCCUGGGAAGCAGCCCCGGCUCACUACGUGCCAGCCGCCGCGG
rnacentral:rRNA from 1 species